GCUUCUGCCUUCACACACUGAGCCACGCACGCCGGGGGAAAGUUGGAGGCAGCGCAGCCACCGAGGGCUCCCACCUGCUCGGGGGCUGUGGGAAAGCAGCACCUUUCCCAGGUUGUCCUCAGGAGGUGGCAAAGCUCUGUCCCUGCUGGAGCACUGCUGACUGCUGUCACCAACCAAACAUGCAGACUGUGUGAGACCCCACGGGAGCCAACCCCACAGCCACUCAGAGGAAAGGAGAAGGUAGGAGAGGAAAAGGGAGCAGUUGAGACCCACCAGCAGCUGACACAGGGGAUCAGCUCCAGCACUGAGAUCCCAGAUGGGGCCAACAGGCACAAGCAAGGUGCAGGACCACAUCUUUCCCUAGACUGUGUCAUUCCUAGUAUACAAGGCUGAACAAGUGAAGCAACUCCGCAGUGUUCUCCAAGGUCACUUGGGAAGGGGCUCUAGGGCUGCCCGGUAGAGGCUCACUCCAAGUAGCUUUGGAGCUGGUGAGAGCAGGACUGAUCCAUCCAUAUGACUACAUUAUGGAGCUGUGUUACAACCGUACAAGCCCUCAAAAAAGGAUGGAAUUUCCCAUGCAACUACUGGUUGGGUCCUGCCUUGCCAUCCUCAUCGUGAUCACUCUCUGCGGUAACAUCAUUGUCUGCCUGGCUGUCAUCCUUGACCGCCGGCUCCGCAGCUUGACGAACUGCAUCAUUGUCUCUUUGGCCAUCACUGACCUGCUGCUGGGCCUCUUGGUGCUGCCAUUCUCUGCCUUCUAUGAACUCACCAAAGAGUGGCCCUUCGGCAGCACUUUGUGCAACAUUUACCUCAGCCUGGACGUCAUGCUGUGCACGGCUUCCAUCCUCAACCUCUUCAUGAUCAGCCUGGACCGCUACUUUGCUGUCACCACCCCGCUUCGCUACAGCCAGCUGGUCACUCGCUCCCGGGUGGCUGUGGGUUUGGUUGUUAUUUGGACCGUUUCACUGAUGGUCUCUUUCCUGCCCAUCCACCUGGGCUGGAACACCAGUGGGACAGCAGUCCAAAACAACGACAGCAAGGAGUGCAUGCUGGACGUGAACACUCCGUACGGGCUAGUGGAUGCCUUGCUCACCUUCUACAUCCCUUUGGUCAUCAUGUGCAUCACCUACUACCGGAUAUUCAAGAUAGCGAGGGAGCAAGCCAAGAGGAUAAACCACACAUGGUGCAGCAGCAGCAACACCCCCAUGCCACCCAUGGUGAAAGAGCACAAAGCCACCGUGACGCUGGCAGUGGUGUUGGGAGCUUUCAUUGUGUGCUGGUUCCCCUAUUUCACAGUGUUUACAUACCGGGGGAUACGGGGGAAAUGCACGGUGGACAGCACAGUCAUGUCCAUUGUCCUCUGGCUGGGCUACGCCAACUCAGCCCUGAACCCCAUCCUCUACGGGACGUUCAACAGGGAUUUCCGAGUGGCAUACCAGCACUUGCUGCACUGCCGGAGGACUAGGGACCCCAGGAUCUCCUGCCUGCCUCCCCUGCAGAAGGCCCAGUCCAGGGGCAGGAACUGCCAGCAGGGCCAGAGCAGUCAGGAAGGUAAACCCCUGAAACUGGAGAUAAGGAACGGGAAAGGGAUCUUGCUGAAUGAUGGAGCCCUCAAGAGCACCUGAGCUUUCCCGUGAGUCUCAGCCAGCCUGCUGCCCUAGGACCCACGUCUCCCACCCGUCAGCUCCUGGCUGCCCUCUUCCAAAAUCCUGUGAGGUUGAAAGGACAACACUCAAUUUUCCUCAGGGAGAAACUCAAUGGCAGGGGUGAGGGCCACAGGGAUGCCUGCUCUGCCAUGCAGCAUUUGCUCCAACCCCAGACACUGCUGGAGAGGCCUUUGCCUGCCCAAGUUUCUUCCCAGGAGGGUGGUGUGUUUGAAGAGCCCUCGGAGGAGCUGCAGAAGAGCCUCUCCCCUGCCCUGUUGGGGCUGUGACACCUCCAGCGUCGAGCCCCACACCAGCAGGCAGUGAUGCCCAAGGAGCUGGGUCAGAAGCUAGCAUGUACCCCCAGGAUGGGGGUGUCCUCCCCAAGCCCAGGGCAGUGGGUCAGGCUGAGAGGGCACACGGUGGAGGGAAAAGGGGCUGCAAUCAAGGUCUUGGUGCCAGACAGACCAGCCUAGGGUGGAGAAGCAGAGCACAAGCACUACCCUCCCUUAUACCCUGUCCAAGGGCCAUAUCCACCCCUUGGAGGGGGCAGGAGUCCAGGCAGAAGGGUGGACAAUGUGGCAGGAGGGCUAAUCAUGGCAGAUGUCAGCAGCCAUGAGUACUGGUUGAUCAUGCACAGGAUGCCCAGUCCUACAGCAUCUGUGCUGGGGCAAGCUUACCUGCCUCCCACGUUGGGGAGGUUUUGGCAUCGCCAGGGCUGACCCUGCUUCAUGUUCCCUGUCCCAGCCCCACUGCAAGAAGGAGGGAGGCCCUGGAGCCUGCUGGGCCAUGGGGGGACACUAAGCAGCUGGGGUUUGUCCCCAGGCUCUGCCCUCCCCGGCAGCUCAAACACUAAGACCACCAAAACAGGAUGUUUCCACACUGAGUCUGUGCAGAAGUCAUCAAUGGUAUAAAAAUCUAUUUAACACAGAGAUGAUUGAUUAAUUUGGGUGUGCCCUGUCCUGGGAAGAGCCUCCCUUUCCCCCUGUAUCCUGCUGUCCCAUCUCCAUGUCUUUGCUGGGACAGAGCCCGGACAAACACACAGCACAAGCCCCCCAGGACACAGGUUGCAGCCCCCCCAGGAAGAGCUGGCACCCCCAUAGAGAGCACCUUGCCCUGUGGGACCUGCUAAAGGACCCCCUCUCCCAGGUCCCCGAGCUGGUGGGAAGAAGGGGCAGCUAGGACCGGAUAGGACAGGAACAAACAAGGCUCCUUGCUGUGCUGUGCAGCAAGUGUUUCCUCCUGGAAUAACCCUGACUCUCACCACCUCCGGGGCACAGCGUGCUCGUUCUGCCCCCCACAUCAUCCCCAGGGCACAGACAGACCCCCGUUUGCAGAUUCCCCCCAGAAGGGAGGGUGCUGACCCCCCCAGACAACCGGUUUCCCGUGGGCCGGGGCUCUGCCCUGGGUCUCAGGCGUCGCUCAAGGACAUUAGUGCCCCGAAUUUUGGGGGUCUCCCGACGGCUGGGGGGAGGGGGUGGAGGUGUACCUGGAAGGGGCUCCCUGCACGGGGCCAAGCCGGGGUGCCCGACACCCACCCGGUGAACGCCAUGACCCGCAGGAGCAGGGGGACAGGGGGCCUCCCCCGGGGAGCGGGGCGGGCCGGCGGCAGCGCAGGCUCGGAGCUCCCCCUGCUUGUUGCCGGGGACAGGCCCGCCCCUCCCGGCCACACACCCGGCUGGGUACCCCCCAAAACACCCACAGGGCUCCCCCCACCCCGACCCGGCACACCAGACCCCGCUGGGGUCCCCAGACCCUCUGUCACCCCCAAAGCCACCGCAGCCCGACCGCUCACACCUCUGGGGGUUUGGCCCUUAGAAUCAUAGAAUCGUCUAGGUUGGAAGAGACCCUUGGGAUCAUCGAGUCCAACCAUCUACCCUACCCUACAAAGUC